UCCUCGAUGGUCUAGUGGUCAUGAUUUCCGCUUGUCACGCGGGAGACCAGGGUUCGAUUCUCUGUCGGGGAG
rnacentral:tRNA from 1 species